AAGGGAGGGAGGGAGGGAGGAAGGAAGGAAGGAAGGAAGGAAGGAAGGAAGGAAGGAAGAAGCUUUUGGACUACUCUGGAUGAGAAUUAACUGCAGCCAGGCUUCCCUUUCAUGUUUUUGAAGAGAAAGUUAAAUUAAUGGUUUGUACUGAAAAAUCUGUGCUCUGUCUGCCAUGGUGCCUACCAGCAAUUCAUUAAAACCUCAUUUAAAUACUUGAAGGAAUGAACCUGAGGAAGAAAAAUCUGUGGAUGAAAAGAAAAUAGUGUGAAAUAAUAAGCUUAUAUUUUACAUGAUGAAUUGUUAGAAAUGAUGUUUAAUCCAUAAGGGACUGUAAAAUAGCUUGUCUCUACGCACAUGCAGUACAGCAUAGCUUUGUUCCCCUAGGAGCUGUGCUCCUCUGUGUGAAAGAAGCUGUAGAAAACAGGCAUGCUUCAUAUCCAUGUGCAAGAUCUGAAUUCACUAGGAAGAAAAAGUUUACUGAGAAAUAAAGAAAAAAAUAAUAAUUUAGCCAAAAAGCAAACAAACAAAACUAAACUAACUUGCCAUUGAUUAGCUUUUACUUAAAGACUGACAGAAAGUAUACAUGUGGAUAGCAUACGGAAUAAAAAGAAAAAAAAAUAGAAUUUAUAAUAGAGUACUUCAGCAUGUGAUAACAGUUCCUUCAGUUCCUUUUUAAUUUUUCUAAAAUUUAAUAACUGAAUAACAUCUUUUGGAUUUUUUUGGAAAACUGUACAACAGGACAGUAAGUUGCAUGAGCUCUUGUGUUACUUUCUUUUUGGCAAAUUCAUCCAGUGACACAGAAAAAAAAAAAAAGUGCAAAUAACCUCUAGUGUGUGCUUUUGCUCUUACCAUUUUCUCCAAGCAGGUCUGAUGCUGCAGGGUACUGGGUCCGAUGAGAACUGCGAGAUUUGGCCUCAGGCAGUUCCUCUAACUGUAGCACUUUUUUUUGUCUUUGCAGGUGAUCAGAUCACCUAUGCUGAGGUGAAAGUGAAAUGGAAAUCUGACAACACCAACAAUACAUCCACGUCUACACAUACAACAGUGGCCUGCUAUGAGAGCAAACACUGGUGUUAUGUUGCCAUCAUCCUGUACUUCGUUGCAGUGAUUCUGCUCAUCUGUGUGAUCCUUUUAGCUGUGAAAUGUAAUAAUUCCUGAGGCAGAUGGUGCAGUCCAGUUAACAAACAGAGUAAGACAUUUUUAUCCU
rnacentral:lncRNA from 1 species